rnacentral:rRNA from 1 species
UACGGAGGGUGCGAGCGUUGUCCGGAAUCACUGGGCGUAAAGGGCGCGUAGGCGGCGAGGAUAGUCAACGGUGAAAGCUUGGGGCUCAACCCCGAGUCGGCCGUCGAUACUUCCUUGCUUGAGCACUGUAGAGGCAGAUGGAAUUCCCGGUGUAGCGGUGAAAUGCGCAGAUAUCGGGAGGAACACCGGUGGCGAAGGCGGUUCUCUGGGCCUUACCUGACGCUGAGGAGCGAAAGCGUGGGGAGCGAACAGG